rnacentral:rRNA from 1 species
UACGGAGGGUGCAAGCGUUAUCCGGAUUCACUGGGUUUAAAGGGUGCGUAGGUGGGAAUGUAAGUCAGUGGUGAAAUCUCCGUGCUUAACAUGGAAACUGCCAUUGAUACUAUGUUUCUUGAAUUUUCUGGAGGUAAGCGGAAUAUGUCAUGUAGCGGUGAAAUGCUUAGAUAUGACAUAGAACACCAAUUGCGAAGGCAGCUUGCUACAGGGAUAUUGACACUGAGGCACGAAAGCGUGGGGAGCAAACAGG